rnacentral:rRNA from 1 species
CUGGCGGCGUGCCUAAUACAUGCAAGUCGAGCGGACAGAUGGGAGCUUGCUCCUGAUGUUAGCGGCGGACGGGUGAGUAACACGUGGGUAACCUGCCUGUAAGACUGGGAUAACUCCGGGAAACCGGGGCUAAUACCGGAUGGUUGUUUGAACCGCAUGGUUCAAACAUAAAAGGUGGCUUCGGCUACCACUUACAGAUGGACCCGCGGCGCAUUAGCUAGUUGGUGAGGUAAUGGCUCACCAAGGCAACGAUGCGUAGCCGACCUGAGAGGGUGAUCGGCCACACUGGGACUGAGACACGGCCCAGACUCCUACGGGAGGCAGCAGUAGGGAAUCUUCCGCAAUGGACGAAAGUCUGACGGAGCAACGCCGCGUGAGUGAUGAAGGUUUUCGGAUCGUAAAGCUCUGUUGUUAGGGAAGAACAAGUACCGUUCGAAUAGGGCGGUACCUUGACGGUACCUAACCAGAAAGCCACGGCUAACUACGUGCCAGCAGCCGCGGUAAUACGUAGGUGGCAAGCGUUGUCCGGAAUUAUUGGGCGUAAAGGGCUCGCAGGCGGUUUCUUAAGUCUGAUGUGAAAGCCCCCGGCUCAACCGGGGAGGGUCAUUGGAAACUGGGGAACUUGAGUGCAGAAGAGGAGAGUGGAAUUCCACGUGUAGCGGUGAAAUGCGUAGAGAUGUGGAGGAACACCAGUGGCGAAGGCGACUCUCUGGUCUGUAACUGACGCUGAGGAGCGAAAGCGUGGGGAGCGAACAGGAUUAGAUACCCUGGUAGU